rnacentral:lncRNA from 1 species
CUCGGCCACCCAGCUGUCGAUGUCGAUACCCGACUUCUCCGUCGCCAGCUCCCAGUCGCCCAACAGUAUGUUGUUCGCCGGUGAGAUGUACUAGGCUGGUAGCAUCAGUUUCGUCGUGGUCGUCGUCCCCGUUCUCCAUAAGUUGACACUACCUACACCGGCUGAAAACUGACUUGAACUGAAUGUGGUUUGUUCUGCUGGCCCUCGAGCCCAUCCACUGUGCUUGCCGUAGCACCUCAACCUUAUAUGGUUCUAUAGUUUAUCAGUAUUUGCCGUGUGAGAUUUGUACCGACAAGAACAAGAAUGAAAAGCUUCAUCCUGGCAUCGUUUUCCUUGAGCUAUACGUGUUCAACUAACUAGCUAACAUGGUGCUUACUCGCUUUAUUAUCGGAGAAAAAACUGACUCGGUUGACGUUUGAGACG